UCUCAUGCUCAGUGCGUCAUCUGCUCUUUAGUUUGUCGAUUUGUACCACGUGAUCGCUCAGCUGCGAAGGGCCCAAUUUGUCACGUCUGGUUGUUCAUCUGAGAGGAAGUCUGGAACAAAGGGUAGCGGAAAACACUGGGAACUACGGCAGAAACAUUCUUCCAGGUCUCAGAGAGGCGAUCUCCGAGCUCCGCGAAUUGUGCAAGACAUGGGAUAACAUGGAACAAUAUUUAUGCAUAUGUUGCUAUGGAAGAUUGUUUGGAAGAGGAGAGGAAAGGCAAUUGCUUGUUUCUACAAGGACAUUUACAGCUCAGCUGGUUGAGUCACUUGAUGCUUCGUUAACAGAAUCAUAUGAAACAAUGAAGGAUUCUGAAAGAAACAAACAGACAAAGGGACUGUCAAGGGAUAUCAAACUAAUAUGGGCAAAUAAUAGAC